rnacentral:rRNA from 1 species
AAUCAACGCUGGCGGCGUGCCUCAGACAUGCAAGUCGAACGAUUAAAGCUCUCUUCGGAGAGUGCAUAGAGUGGCGUACGGGAGAGUAACACGUAAGUAAUCUACCCUCGGGUGGGGAAUAACUUAAGGAAACUUAAGCUAAUACCGCAUAAUGCAGCGGCUCCAUAUGGAGACAGUUGUUAAAGCAUUUAUGCGCCUGGGGAGGAGCUUGCGGCAGAUUAGCUAGUUGGUAAGGUAACGGCUUACCAAGGCGACGAUCUGUAGCCGGUCUAAGAGGACGGUCGGUCUCACUGACACUGAAUAACGGGUCAGACUCCUACGGGAGGCAGCAGUCGGGAAUUUUGGGCAAUGGGCGAAAGCCUGACCCAGCAACGCCGCGUGAAGGAUGAAGUCUUUCGGGAUGUAAACUUCGGAAAUAUGGGAAGAAUAAAUGACGGUACCAUAUCUAAGGUCCGGCUAACUACGUGCCAGCAGCCGCGGUAAUACGUAGGGACCAAGCGUUGUUCGGAUUUACUGGGCGUAAAGGGUACGUAGGCGGCGCUGCAAGUCAAUUGUGAAAUCUCCGGGCUUAACUCGGAACGGCCAAUUGAUACUGCAGUGC